GGAAGGUCAUAGCUCAGUGGCAGAGCUUCUGUUCUGCAAACAGGUGCUCUGAGAUUCAAUCCCUGGCAACUCCA